AUUAAUCAGUUUUUAUUCCGCCGGAAACCCCAGCCAAAAAUACGCAGCAGCCACAGAAAAUCUCCAGCAAGACCACUACUCCACCUUCUCCUCCUCCCUCCUCCCCUUCGUCUUCCCCCGGCCCGUUACGCUCCCUGCCCCGUUCCUCCCAGUCGCCGCCGCCCUCCUCCUCCGCCGCCGCAGUCGUCUCAUCCUCCGCCGUCCAGAUCCGUCCUGCUGCGCGUCCGUCCACGAGCAAGGCUCCUAGAUUAGCGAGAGCUCCUCCCCCGCGAGAUCCGCCAUCGCCGUCUCGGCGCCCGCAGCACCUUCUUCCGGAGGCGAUCCGCCCCUCGAACCACCGCCGGCGCGCCGUCCAGCUUAUAACGGUGCACUUGGUGUGAGCCAGCUUGGGUGGCGUUGUGGUAUCUGCUUCAUUAUCGUCUUAGCCUAUAUUUGCCCUUGGACCAAAGGCCGUUUGAGAUUGAUAAUAUGAAAUAAAGAAUCAUACAACGUCCAUGCAUUCAUCUGCAGAUGUAACCAUGCUGAUGGUUUUUCUUGGGCACACCUAUAUGGUGUUCUUGACACUGCCUUCCGUGCUCCAAUUCUAUGCAAACCGUAAGAUUGUUGCUGUUACUUCUGACGUUCUAUAAGUUUGGACCAUGGAGCGUGCACCACGUAACAGGGGAUUUCCAACUGAUCCCAAGGAAUAUAAGUUAUAUGAGGAAGUUGGAGAAGGAGUUAGUGCCACAGUUUACAGGGCUCUUUGUGUCCCGCUCAAUACUUUUGUUGCCAUCAAAGUUCUUGACCUUGAGAAGUGCAGUAGUGACCUGGAUGGAAUAAGGCGGGAAGUACAAACCAUGAGCUUGCUUGACCAUCCAAAUCUUCUUCGAGCAUGCUGUUCAUUUGCAAAUGACCAUCAACUUUGGGUUGUCAUGCCUUUCAUGGCUGCUGGAUCUGCCCUGCACAUAAUAAAAACUAAUUUUCCAGAUGGGUUUGAGGAAGCAGUCAUUGCCACACUUUUGUGGGAAGUUCUCAAAGCUCUUGUCUACCUACACUCUCAAGGGCAUAUUCACAGAGAUGUAAAGGCUGGAAAUAUCCUAAUAGAUACAAAUGGAGCUGUUAAGCUAGGAGACUUUGGAGUAUCUGCCUGCAUGUUUGACACUGGGAAUAGACAACGAGCUAGAAAUACAUUUGUUGGGACCCCUUGCUGGAUGGCUCCUGAAGUCAUGCAACAACUGCAUGGCUAUGAUUACAAAGCUGACAUCUGGUCCUUCGGGAUAACAGCAUUAGAACUAGCACAUGGUCACGCUCCAUUUUCGAAGUACCCUCCAAUGAAGGUGUUGCUUAUGACGUUGCAAAAUGCACCACCAGGUCUAGACUACGAGAGGGAUAAAAGAUUUUCGAAGUCUUUUAGGGACUUGGUUGCUGUAUGUUUAGUCAAGGAUCCACAGAAGCGUCCCUCUUCAGAAAAGCUGUUGAAACAUUCGUUUUUUAAGCAAGCGCGAUCAGCUGAUUUUUUGGCAAAGAGUAUUCUUGAGGGACUUACUCCACUGGGCGACCGCUUUAGGGCGUUGAAGGCAAAAGAGGCUGACUUACUUCUCAAUAACAAGCUUGGUCCAGAGAGCAAGGAGCAGUUAUCACAGAAAGAAUACAUAAGGGGCAUCAGUGGCUGGAAUUUUAAUCUGGAGGACUUGAAAACCGCAGCUGCCCUUUUAGACAGUUCAAAUGGCACAUACCAUUUUGAUGGUGCCAACAACAAAGAUAGGAAUGGGCUACAAGACGUUUAUAAUGAAUCAGAAAAUAUUUAUCAGGAAAGGGUUAACCAUGGUGCUUCUGCAAGGCAUGAUGAGCAUGAGAUACAAGAAGUAGAAGAUUUGGAUGGAGAUCUUGCCUCUUCCUUUCCAACCCGUCCCCUUGAGGCACUAAAGUCUUGCUUUGAUGUCGGCGGUGAUGAUGAUCCGGACCCUACUGCUACGAAUUUGCCGGUACAACCAAGCAUGGAGUCUAUAUCACCUGUGCAGCAGUUCUCAGAAAUGGACCAUAGUAGAAGUGACAACUGUAAUGGUGAAAAUCUGGAAAGAAGUGUCUCCGUACCCUCAAAUUUGGGAAAUAGUGUAUAUCCCAAGUUCUCAAGUGGUUCUCUUAUUCCUGAGCAUGUUCUUUCGCCUUACAAGAAUGUUGGUAGUGAUUCACGAAGGAAUGAAUUUCAUCAGAAAAAUCCGAGCAGCAGAAACCGGAGUGGCCCUUUGUUUUUCCGUCAAAUGAAGGACACACGCCCACAUCUGUCUGUUGCACCUGAUGAGGCGUCGGAAGGAAAUGUUGUCCAGCGAAGGGGGCGAUUUCAGGUCACAUCAGAUAAUCCUGGUCAAAAGGUAGCUUCAUCAGCAAGCAGCAACAGCAGGCCAAAUUUACCAAGUGGAGUAACACGGCCAGCUUCCAAUUCAUCCACAAUUCUACCGACACUACAAUUCUUGAUGCAGCAAAAUUCUAUGCAAAAGGAAGUGCUAAGUAGAUUGAUUUCUUCAAUUGAGGAAACAUCUGAUGCUUCCGAUGCAAGUACAGUUGGUUUGUCUCAGUCAUUUGGAUCGCUUGCCAGAGAGAAGGGAUUGGAGUCGUAUGUCGUCCAACUACAGCGAAGUGUCACAGAACUCUCUGAGGAAGUGCAGAGAUUGAAGCUGAGAAAUAAUCAGCUUGAGCAGCAGAUCAACGGGUUGUCGAAAAAAGACGAAAGGUUGCGAAGAGAGGGUAGUACCAAGCAAUGAUAUAUUAUAUUCCCCCCUAAGUCCCCGUUGUAUAAUUCAGCUCCCCAAUUUUGAACCUGGUUAGUGAAAUUAAUUGUAUUAUGUUUCGAAAUCAGGUAGUUGUAUCAAUUGUAAUUGUAAGUAUUUUAGCGAGUUCACAUUAUAGUAUAAUCUUUGAUUUGUACAGCAUGCUUUGUGUUAUCGGUGAGGAUUAGUUUCCGUCAACUACAAUGUUUCGAUAGCAACCGUUUGUGAACUUGUUUGCCC
rnacentral:rRNA from 1 species